rnacentral:sRNA from 1 species
GUCUAUGGUUAUUAGGAAAAUUCCUUUGC